rnacentral:rRNA from 1 species
AACACGGACCAAGGAGUCUAACAUGUGCGCGAGUCACUCGGUCUUGAAUAGGCCAGAGAGGCGCAAUGAAGGUAAAUGAAUUAAUUUAUGUUACGAUCGAGGCAAUUGAGUUGCAAUCUUUCGAUUGUGGCUGUUGUCUGGCGCAGUAACGGCCUGCCAAUUUCGCCUAUUGACGAUCUGGCAGAGUUGUAGCGUACACGUUGGUACCCGAAAGAUGGUGAACUAUGCCUGGGCAAGACGAAGCCAGAGGAAACUCUGGUGGAGGUCUGUAGCGAUUCUGACGUGCAAAUCGAUCGUCCGACCUGGGUAUAGGGGCGAAAGACUAAUCGAACCAUCUAGUA